UACGAAGGACCCGAGCGUUAUCCGGAUUUAUUGGGUUUAAAGGGUGCGUAGGCGGACUAAUAAGUCAGUGGUGAAAGCCCAUCGCUUAACGGUGGAACUGCCAUUGAUACUGCUAGUCUUGAGUAUGGUUGAGGUGGGCGGAAUGUGUCAUGUAGCGGUGAAAUGCUUAGAUAUGACCCAGAACACCAAUUGCGAAGGCAGCUCGCUAAGCCAUAACUGACGCUGAGGCACGAAAGCGUGGGGAGCGAACAGG
rnacentral:rRNA from 1 species